rnacentral:misc_RNA from 1 species
UUUAGUCAACCCCGUUGACGGUAUAUAGUUAUAGACGGUAUAGAGGUUGUCCUAAACUUAACAAGUACCGAAUUCCUUUCAAAAGUAUUAAACACGCUUAAUUUGAAUGGGAGAUAGUUUUAAAAAGAUUAUGAACUCAGAAGGUAUUCACUUGCAUUGUUUGACAUGCUACAUCAAGUACUGUUCAAAGUUCUCCAACUGCCCAAUUAUACAGUGCAAAUCUGAGUGUGGUCUUCAUUAUCAUAGUUGUAAACAAAAGGAACAUGAAUUUGUUUGUACAAAGCAACUUCGCCCAUGCAUUAAUUUUGUUAAUGGUUGUCCAUUUAAACUAAAUAGCAUUAGUCUUAUGCGUCAUUUGGAAGUAUGUCCUGCAAGUGUGUUAUAUUGUGGGUUUAGUUGGAACAGACAUCCUUUGUUUUCUAAGGUACGUGAAAAAUGGCUACCUUUUAAAUCAUUAAAAACAAACCCUGUUCCAAUGGAAGGAGAUCUAGAUAUUGAUCUAUUAAUUCUUGACCAAAAGCAAUUGAAUUUUGAGUUUAAACAACGAAUGAGAAAUGGUAAAAAGAAGAUUAAAGAAAAAUUUGUGCAGCCUUCUACUCUAGAAGUAAACACAUUCUCGUCAAAUUUUAAGGAGAUCCUUUCUCUUUAUGACAAUAGCUUUUUAACAUAUGACGAUUUAGUUUUAACGCAUUUACCUAACUUUACUGCAAAUGUUUUAAAUACUAAUAUAUCUGAUGGGUACUAUGACACACCAACUACAGGUUACAGGUUCUCAAAAAAAGAAUACAGUGCUAGCUCAAGUAAUUUAUUUGUUAAUGUUGAUUACUCAUUAAACCCAGAUGAAAUACAUUCUCGUUUGCUGGUUCAUAAUGACUUAAGAGUUCAAAAACAAACCCUCAGUUUAAAUGUUGUUGUGGAAACAUUACCACGUUUUCAAAUCCAAUAUCCAAUGUACAGUUUUACUUGCUCAAAGUUGUUUCGUCGGGAUCAAUAUUCUUCUCACUGUUUAAACAUACAUACAGACAUCUAUCCUCAUUUGAACGAUUGGAUGGUUCAGAGAUGUCCUCUUGCUGCAUACGGUUGUCCUUACUCACAAAUUAGAUUGAAACCAAAAGGGAGAAAAGUUUGUGUCUCUAAAGUGUUUGGUUGCUUUACAUCAGUUGAAGAAAACCUAAGUAUAAAAAGUACUUCAGAUAAAAAAAAAGAACAAAUAGUUUUUUCAAUAUUGGACUUACCUGAAGAAGUAAUUGAAUACUUGUUUACUUUUCUUGACAGCCUCAGUUUAAAUACUAUUGCAAAAACAUGCAGUUCAUUUAGAAGUGUUUGCUACAAUAUGUUGGAUACCAGAGGGAUUGUUGUAUCUUGUUGGAAAAAACGUUCACUCUCCUUAAUAAAAAGCUCCUCCUGGGUGGAAGAUUUAAAUGAAUAAAAUGGUAUGGUAUAUUUGAAAACAUUUAUCUAAAUGUAGUUGGAGUUGUUAUGGAGAGAAAUAGAAACUUCUUCAAGAUUCGUUUUUUUUCCACGUCUUGUUCUGAGAUGAGAAACUGGUACUUUACAGAUUGUUCUGCUAUUGGAAACCAUAUGCGGGAGUGUGCGUUUU